rnacentral:rRNA from 1 species
CAUGAACGCUGGCGGCGUGCUUAACACAUGCAAGUCGAACGGAACUCCUAUGAUUGAGGUUUCGGCCAAAAGAAUAGGACGUUUAGUGGCGGACGGGUGAGUAACGCGUGAGUAACCUGCCUUGGGGUGGGGAAUAACACAGUGAAAACUGUGCUAAUACCGCAUAAUGCAUUUGGGUCGCAUGAUUCUGAAUGCCAAAGAUUUAUCGCUCUGAGAUGGACUCGCGUCUGAUUAGCUAGUUGGCGGGGUAACGGCCCACCAAGGCGACGAUCAGUAGCCGGACUGAGAGGUUGGCCGGCCACAUUGGGACUGAGACACGGCCCAGACUCCUACGGGAGGCAGCAGUGGGGAAUAUUGGGCAAUGGGCGCAAGCCUGACUCAGCAACGCCGCGUGAAGGAAGAAGGCUUUCGGGUUGUAAACUUCUUUUGUCAGGGAAGAAGCGAAAGUGACGGUACCUGCAGAAAAAGCACCGGCUAACUACGUGCCAGCCGCCGCGGUAAGAC